GUGAUUGUUCCUAAAGACUGGAAAGAAGCAAGACAAGAUCCAAAGUGGUGUGAAGCCAUGAGGGAAGAGUUGGAGGCCCUGAGAAAGAACAAAACAUGGGAGCUAGCGACUCUUCCAUAUGGGAAGAAGGCAGUCAGUUGUAAGUGGAUCUUCACAGUGAAGCAGAAUCCUGAGGGUAAGGUUGAGCGUUACAAGGCAAGACUGGUAGCCAGAGGGUACAGCCAAACGUAUGGUAUUGAUUAUGACGAAACAUUCACCCCAGUUGCAAAGAUGAAUACAGUGAGGAUUCUAAUCUCAUGUGCAGCUAACUUUGGAUGGCAACUACACCAACUUGAUGUA
rnacentral:rRNA from 1 species